UGUUAAGUCAUCUUGACACACUGCCACGAAAUGGAAACAACUGCUAGUUUUAACAUUGCUCCAUAUCUUUAUUAAAAGAGUCAUCAAUCUCUUCAGAGUCAUCUUGCCAUCUGUACCAGCAUUGCUCCAGGCUUCCAUAUGAAAGUCCAAUCUGGCGGUAUAAAUACCGGAUAAUGAAGAGUGGGUGUUAAAGUUUCUGACUGGUUGGAAGAUGACACUGGCAGAGUCUUUACUCUGCACACCACUGCUGACCCCAGAAAUGACCCACAGGAACUACUGGCGAAAGGAGUGAAAAGUUGGCAUCAGAACUGAGGAAAAUGUGCCCAGCAGAUCAGUGGUCAUACGACAGCCCCUUAAAAUGCAGCCAGCAGAACUGGUGUGCUCUGGGUACAGCUGAAGAUACAGAGUUCCCAAAGUGUGCCACUUGCUUUCCACUCUCUUGCUGCCGAGCAGCUGGGACUGUGCUGCUCCCCGUCUCUGCACAAGGGGGUGACUACUCUGAGCUUCUUCU